UGAGGAAUAUUGGUCAAUGGACGAAAGUCUGAACCAGCCAUGCCGCGUGAAGGAAUAAGGCCCUAUGGGUCGUAAACUUCUUUUGUAUGUGAGCAAUAAGGUCCACGAGUGGUCCGAUGAGAGUAGCAUACGAAUAAGCAUCGGCUAACUCCGUGCCAGCAGCCGCGGUAAUACGGAGGAUGCGAGCGUUAUCCGGAUUCAUUGGGUUUAAAGGGUGCGUAGGUGGCUUGUUAAGUCAGCGGUGAAAGUCAGUGGCUCAACCAUUGAAUUGCCGUUGAAACUGGCGAGCUUGAGUACGUACGGGGCAGGCGGAAUGCGUGGUGUAGCGGUGAAAUGCAUAGAUAUCACGCAGAACCCCGAUCGCGAAGGCAGCCUGCCAGGCCCGUGACUGACACUGAUGC
rnacentral:rRNA from 1 species